UGAACGCACCGCUCUUGUAGAAGGCAAACUUGGGCCUGGAGGCGUCGAUAGCCACAGAAAUUGGUCCGAGGGAAGCCACGGCGUGUUGGAGAGCGUCCUCGUCCCCUUUUGGCAGGAAGUGACGUGCGGAGCAGUUGGCGGCGCGGUGGGCGGGGCUAUAGAGGCACUCCUUGCCCAGCUGUUGGACAAUGACUCAGCAUAAAGUCACAUGACUGGCGUGCACAUGUGCAGUAGGACUGACCAGGCCGUUGUACUCUCGUCCGUGGGUCAUCUUCCACUCCUCCCAGUGGCCGUCCAGGGUCACCUGGUCCAGGUGGGCCAGCGCCGACGCGGCCAGCAGCGACAGUUUCACAGAUUCACCAAAACAUAUGUUUAGGUGAUUGGAGAGCUAGCUUCCGCAGCUAGUGGGUCCAUGACGAUGACUUCUGUUUUGUUGGAUCAGCCGUUUUGCUGCUGUGUUAAAGGAAACAAUUUAGCCCAUUGACUUCUGUUUCCAUGGCGGCGCAUUUCUGACUUCUAGAAACAUGUGUGUUCCUCCUUCUGGAAACAAACACGAGUGUGUGCUAAUCAUGGCAGACUUGGUAACAUAUGACUAUUUCUGGGCAAAAGAGGAUUCACAACCUUGUCUUUUUGAAGCUGAAUAUACGGAGGAUGAACUUUUGCUUAUAGAAGCGAGCACAAAGGAAGAGCGAGAAGUUGGAUUAGACGGAAUCGGGGAGUGAAAGCGAUUUUGACACUAUAAAUAUGGAAAUUGGAGCCAAGCUAUUUUGACAUAAAUGGCGUGCUUACCCAAAUAAACCGUAAAAUCCUG